UAGGAGGCUAAAAAGAAAAGUCUAUACAAUAAUUCUAACAAUUCUAACAAUUUUACGUAAAGGUUAAAAAGAAAAGUUUAUACAAUGAUUCUAACAAUUUUACGUAAAUAAUUUAAUAUCUUGUCGUCUUCCAUUGGUACCUUCUCGUUGUCGUAUCUGUUGCUUUUCCAUUGCUUCUUAUCUUAUCUUUCCAGCUGGCAUGCUCAUUUUCUUGAUUUUUAUUCUAGGUGCACUUCUGGAAUAAUAUUAUCUUCUCCAUUACAUCUUGACCAUUGAUGGUCUGGAUAUUUGUGUCCAAUUAUUUUUCAAUAUCUUGUCAGUAAUCCGUCUGAAAUAAAUUCUUUUUUAAUUGCUCUUGCAGUAGAUUGUUUUUCUGGGUUAAGUAAUGUUAUUAUCCAUUGCCUAACAUCUUCCAUAUCUGCUUGUCGUAGCUCUUUUGAAUUUGAAUAAAUCAUUUGAUGGUCU
rnacentral:lncRNA from 1 species